rnacentral:tRNA from 1 species
GGUGGAGUAGUUCAGUUGGUUAGAACAUCGGCCUGUCACGCCGAAGGUCGCGGGUUCGAGCCCCGUCUCCAUCGCCA